AGAACUUAGCAGAGAUGCUUUGGUGCCUUCGGGAACUCUGAGACAGGUGCUGCAUGGCUGUCGUCAGCUCGUGUUGUGAAAUGUUGGGUUAAGUCCCGCAACGAGCGCAACCCUUAUCCUUUGUUGCCAGCGGGUUAUGCCGGGAAACUCAAAGGAGACUGCCAGUGAUAAACUGGAGGAAGGUGGGAUGACGUCAAGUCAUCAUGGCCCUUACGAGUAGGGCUACACACGUGCUACAAUGGCGCAUACAAAGAGAAGCGACCUCGCGAGAGCAAGCGGACCUCAUAAAGUGCGUCGUAGUCCGGAUUGGAGUCUGCAACUCGACUCCAUGAAGUCGGAAUCGCUAGUAAUCGUAGAUCAGAAUGCUACGGUGAAUACGUUCCCGGGCCUUGUACACACCGCCCGUCACACCAUGGGAGUGGGUUGCAAAAGAAGUAGGUAGCUUAACCUUCGGGAGGGCGCUUACCACUUUGUGAUUCAUGACUGGGGUGAAGUCGUAACAAGGUAAGCGUAGUGCU
rnacentral:rRNA from 1 species